GCCGGAUGUGGUGGUGCGUCCCUGUAGUCCCAGCUACUCAGGAGGCUGAGGCUGGAGGAUUGCUUGAGUCCAGGAGUUCUGGGCUGUAGUGGGCUAUGCUGAUCAGGUGUCCACACUAAGUUCAGCAUCAAUAUGGUGACCUUCCGGGAGUUGGGGACCACCAGGUUACCUAAGGAGGGGUGAACCAUCCAAGUAGGAAAUGGAGCAGGUCAAAACUCCCGUGCUGAUCAGUAGUGGGAUCACGCCUGUGAAUAGCCACUGCACUCCAGCCUGGGCAACAUAGUGAGACCCCAUCACUU
ensembl:misc_RNA Metazoa_SRP Metazoan signal recognition particle RNA